rnacentral:rRNA from 1 species
UACAGAGGGGGCAAGCGUUGUUCGGAAUUACUGGGCGUAAAGGGCGCGUAGGUGGCCUUCUUAGUCAGACGUGAAAUCCCCAGGCUUAACCUGGGAACUGCGUCUGAUACUGGAAGGCUAGAGUUCGGGAGAGGAAUGUGGAAUUCCAGGUGUAGCGGUGAAAUGCGUAGAUAUCUGGAGGAACACCGGUGGCGAAGGCGGCAUUCUGGGCCGAAACUGACGCUGAGGCUCGAAAGCCAGGGGAGCAAACGGG